rnacentral:rRNA from 1 species
GAACGCUGGCGGCAAGCCUAACACAUGCAAGUCGAACGGACAAUUAUUUAUAGCCUCUGGCUAUAGGAAAUUGUUAGUGGCAGACGGGUGAGUAAUGCGUAGGAAUCUACCUAGUAGUACGGAAUAGCCAUUAGAAAUGGUGGGUAAUACUGUAUAAUCCCCGAGGGGGAAAGAUUUAUCGCUAUUAGAUGAGCCUACGUUAGAUUAGCUAGUUGGUGAGGUAAUGGCUUACCAAGGCUAUGAUCUAUAGCUGGUCUGAGAGGACGAUCAGCCACACUGGAACUGAGAUACGGUCCAGACUCCUACGGGAGGCAGCAGUGGGGAAUAUUGGACAAUGGGCGAAAGCUGAUCCAGCUAUGCCGCGUGAGUGAAGAAGGCCUUCGGGUUGUAAAACUCUUUCAAUAGGGAAGAUAAUGACGGUACCUAUAGAAGAAGUCC